rnacentral:lncRNA from 1 species
AUGGAUACCCCCUUGUCUAUUACUCCCUGCAGGGUGAAGGUCCCAGACCUGGCACUGAUCCUGCUGCACCAGAGCAAGCCCCCCUGCUGUGCCCUGGGCUUCUUUCCCAGGUCUCUGCCCAGUUGUAUUGUGCCCAGUGGGCAGGAGGCAGGGGCCACUGUGAGGCCCUGGGUGCUGGGCCAUCCCCUACCAGGAUCCUCUGCGCAACAUCCCAAGAGAUACCCCUGGUCAUUUCCCUUUUCUUGGUCUCAUUUUUGUCAUUUGGGAAAUGAGAGGGUUAUACUCUAUGCUUGUAACUGCACUAAUGAAUGGAAGGGCUUGUUUACACUGCUGAUUACAAUACUUCGAGGGAAACAACUGUCGUGAGGAGUUGGUUUUUCCGUGGGGUUUGCUUACAUUUCAUAAUCUGUGCUCCAGUCCUCAGCCCAGUCUGACUGCCCCCCUCACACCCACUCACAGUAUUAGUCCCCAGGCUAUGUCUGUUCCCAGCCCCACUGAAGAUGUCAUAUUUAUUAUUAACUGAUGUCACUGUUUCUUCAUGUCGGAGCACAAAUGAUGUGCUUAGAGCAGGGCCCGGGAGAUUUCAUUUCGUGUUGAGACCUUAGGACUCAGACCUAAACACUAAGGGUGAUAAGGGCUAAACAGGCCCACGGGGUCUCCUGACCAUCCUCCUGGCUUCCAUUCUCCCCCUCCCUUUUCCAAUCUGCCUUUCAGCAACACUGCCCAAUUUACCUUCCUUAGAGAAAGUUCAGACUUCUCUGUCUAGAUUUUGAGAAUGAUGCCACCUUGAUGUUACACUAAGCUUCUUCACAUACUCUUAACUACGGGGUAACUGGACUACUAGCUGCCCCAUGUAUGUCUCCAUGUUUUCCUGCCUUGGUGACUUUGCUCCCCACUUAUGUUUACUUCCUCUGAAAUCUGUAUCCCAAAAUGUCACACCCCUUAAUGUUGAAUUUCUCAGCUCAAAUGCCCACUCCUCCAUGGAGCCUUCCUUGAUUCUUCCAUGGGAGUGGGGGUGAGGGGAGGAUGAACCUUUCUCCUCUUGUACUUCAUAUAGCACUUUAUACUCGAAUGUAUUUACCAUCUAAUACUAUAAAUUAUAGCUAAGUGAAUUUGUCUUAUCUCCUUCCCCACCAACUCCCUUCCCUCUUCUCUCCCCGCUCCUUGGAACUUUAUGAGGGCAAAGAAAUAUCUCACCUAAACUUGUAUCUCUUUUGAUCUGAAGGAGUACAGUGCUUUGUACACAGUAGGCUCUUAAUAAAUGUUUAUUGUAUGUUGAAAGAAUAGAAUGA